UACGGUCAAAUCUCAUUGAGACACCGUUUCGCGUACGAAAACUGAAGUUAAGCAACGUUGACCCAGGUCAGUACCUAGAUGAGUCCCCGCUUGGGAAUAUUAGGUGUUAUA